GACGAACGCUGGCGGCGUGCUUAAUACAUGCAAGUCGAACGGAAGUAGCAAUACUUUAGUGGCGCACGGGUGAGGAACACGUAGAUGAUCUGCCCUUGAGAUCGAGAUAACCCCGGGAAACUGGGGCUAAUACCGGAUAAUGCAUUAUUAUUGGAUUAAUAAUGUUAAAGCGGCGCAAGUCGCACUUGAGGAUGAGUCUGCGACCUAUCAGCUAGUUGGCGGUGUAAUGGACCACCAAGGCAAAGACGGGUAGCUGAUCUGAGAGGAUGAUCAGCCACACUGGGACUGAGACACGGCCCAGACUCCUACGGGAGGCAGCAGUAGGGAAUAUUGGGCAAUGGACGCAAGUCUGACCCAGCCAUGCCGCGUGAAGGAUGACGGCCCUAUGGGUUGUAAACUUCUUUUGUACGGGAAAAACCUUCGAACGUGUUCGAAGCUGAUGGUACCGUAAGAAUAAGCAUCGGCUAACUCCGUGCCAGCAGCCGCGGUAA
rnacentral:rRNA from 1 species